CACGUAUUUAGCCGGUGCUUCUUACUCAGGUACCGUCAUUUUUCUUCCCUGCUGAUAGAGCUUUACAUACCGAAAUACCUCUUCGCUCACGCGGCGUCGCUGCAUCAGGGUUUCCCCCAUUGUGCAAUAUUCCCCACUGCUGCCUCCCGUAGGAGUUUGGGCCGUGUCUCAGUCCCAAUGUGGCCGGCCACCCUCUCAGGUCGGCUACUGAUCGUCGCCUUGGUGGGCCUCUCCCCCGCCAACUAGCUAAUCAGACGCGGGCCCAUCCCAUACCACCGGAGUUUUUCACACCAGGCCAUGCGGCCCUUGUGCGCUUAUGCGGUUUUAGCAGCCGUUUCCGGCUGUUAUCCCCCUGUAUGGGGCAGGUUGCCCACGCGUUACUCACCCGUCCGCCACUCAGUCACAAUUUCUUCUUCCCCGAAGGAAAUCUAAAAGAGUGCUUCGUUCGACUUGCAUGUGUUAAGCACGCCGCCAGCGUUCAUCCUGAGCCAGGAUCAAACUCU
rnacentral:rRNA from 1 species